rnacentral:rRNA from 1 species
CAGUAGCCGCGGGAAAACGAAGGGGGCUAGCGUUGCUCUGAAUGACUGGGCGUAAAGGGCGCGUAGGCGGAUGGCUUUGUCGGGCGUGAAAUUCCGGGGCUUAACCUUGGGGCUGCGUUCGAGACGGGUUGUCUUGAGUAUGGAAGAGGGUCGUGGAAUUCCCAGUGUAGAGGUGAAAUGCGUAGAGAUGUGGAGGAACACCAGUGGCGAAGGCGACUCUCUGGUCUGUAACUGACGCUGAGGAGCGAAAGCGUGGGGAGCGAACAGGAUUAGAUACCCGUGUAGUCCCUGUCUUUUAUAC